GGCCGUAUAGCUCAGCGGGAUGAGCGCCGCCCUCACAAGGCGGAGGUCCCAGAUUCGAUCCCUGGUGCGGCCAC
rnacentral:tRNA from 1 species